AAUUUUAUGUUUAUUAUAUAAAACAAUUUCUGCCCUAUGGUUUUACUAAAUAAAUGGCCGAGUACCCUGACUGUGCUAAGGUAGCAUAAUAAAUUGGCUUUUAAAUGAGGUCUUGCAUGAAAGAAUUUAUGAGUAAUAAUUGUCUCAGUGUUAUUUUUGUUAAUUUAUUUUAUUAGGUGAAAAUACCUAAAAAAAAAAGAAAGACGAGAAGACCCUUAGAAUUUUGAUUAGUUUUUUUGUUGGGGUGACAGUUUAAGAUUUUUGAACUUACUUUUUUUAACAUGAAAGUUUACAAGAAAGAUAAAAUUACCUUAGGGAUAACAGCAUAAUUUUUCUUUUAGAUUGUGACCUCGAUGUUGGACUAGGGACUUAAUAAUUAGAAAUUAAAUUAGUUAGUUCUGUUCGAACUUUUUUCCCCU
rnacentral:rRNA from 1 species